rnacentral:ncRNA from 1 species
ACCUGGUCGACAACGCCCUGAGCAAGAAGCCACAGGUCGUGCAGAUCGAUCCGACCGACAAAUCGUUCAAGACAUCGGGCUGCCAGCCCUGGCAGCUGACACCCGACGCCGCACUGCCCCCCACUGCGCCGCCGGCCGGUGUGCAAGGCACUCUCGGCAUCCUCAACGGGCUGCUCGGCGGCCAGAACGGCCAGCA